rnacentral:rRNA from 1 species
CACGGAGUUAGCCGGUGCUUCCUUAAGAGGUACCGUCAAGUCACCAGCAUAUUAGGCUGGUGAGAUUUCUUCCCUCCCGACAGGGCUUUACGACCCGAAGGCCUUCAUCACCCACGCGGCGUCGCUGCGUCAGGCUUUCGCCCAUUGCGCAAUAUUCCCCA